UUGCAGUGAGCCGAGAUUGCGCCACUGCUCUCUAGUCUGGGCGACACAGCAAGACUCCGUCUGAAAAAAAGAAAAGUCUAAAAACAAGCCAGGAACAGUGGCUCCUGCCUGUAAUCCCAGCAUUUUGGGAGGCUGAAGCAGCAGGCUUUCUCUUGAAGCCAGGAGUUUGAGACCAGCCUGACCAACAUUGCGAGAUCCUGUCUCUACAAAAAUAAAAAGAUUAGCUGGGAGUGAUGGUGUACUGGAGAGGCCAAGGCAGGAUUGCUUAAGCCCAGGAGUUCAAGGCUGCAGUGAGUUAUAAUGGCACCAUUGCACUCCAGCCUGGGUGAUGGAGGAAGACCUUAUUUCUUAAAAACAGAUUAAAAAAAAAAAGGCUAAAAACAACAGAUGUUAGUGAGGAUAUGAAGAAGGGGAAACACUUAUACACUGUUCGUGGGAAUGUAAAUUAGAAUGACCACUAUGGAAGACAGCAUGGUGAUUUCUCAAUAAAGUAAAAAUGGAACUACUAUUUGAUCCAGUAAUCCCACUUCUGGGUAUCUACCCAAAGGAAAAGAAAUUAUUGUAUAAAAAGACACCUACACUCAUAUGUUUAUUGCAGUACUGUUCAAAAUAGCAAAGAUAUGGAAUCAACGUAAGUGUCCAUCAAUGGAGGAUUGGAUAAAGAGAAUGUGGUAUGCAGACACCAUGGAAUGCUACUCAGUCAUAAAAAGGAAUAAAAUCAUGUCUUUUGCGGAACAUGGAUGGACCUGAAGGCCAUUAUCCUAAGUAAAAUCACUCAGAAACAGAAAGUCAAAUACUGUCUGUCACUUAUAAGUGGGGGCUGAACAAUGGGUAUCCAUGGACGUCGAGUGGAAAAAUGUACACUGGAUACUACAAAGGUGGAAGGAUGGGUAGGGAGAGGGUUGGAAACUACCUACUGGGUACGGUGUUCGCUAUUCAUGUGAUGGGUUCAGUAAGAGCCAGAUAUGCCUUCCUCACUAAGAUUAAUCAUUUCUAGUUUUUGGUUUCAAGUGAAGGCCAUACAACUCUUCCUUUUACUUGCACAAACAGAAGCCAUUGUAAGGUUAUUAAUUGGCAUAAUUUCAAUAUUGUUGUGUCUCAGGGAAUAGGGAGGCCAAGAGACGGAGAGAGGUUGGGGAGGUACUGGUCAGUGGAGCAGUCAGAACACACACAUUUAUUGGUUAAGUUUGCUGUCUUAUAUGGUAUUGAUUCAUGGCCUCUCAAAACAAUUAGAAUAGUAACAUCAAAAAUUACUGAUCCUACACCACCAUAACAGAUGUAAUUAUAAUUUAAAAAAUGUGCAAGAUUGUGAGAAUUACCAAAAUGGGACACAGAGACGCAAAAUGAGCACUUGCUGUUUGGAAAAAUGGCUCGAUAGACUUGCUCAAUGCAGGGUUACCACAAACCUGCAGUUUAUUGGAAAAGAACAUAUCUGUGAAGCACAGUAAAAUGCAAUAAAAUGAAGUAUGCCUGUACCGUCAAAAAUCUUGUGCAUUCUUUCCUUGUUCCUUCUGUCUUCUCCACGGUUAGUGUCUAUACUUGACCUCCAAAGUUGGCUGGGAUCUGACUCUAGUUAUGGGUCUGGAGGUCUUGAGAUGGGGAAGGGUGGGUCUCAAGGAUAGUGUGGCAUCUCCUUGUAUAAAAACUAUGUCAGGUCCGGGCGUGGGGGCUCACGCCUGUAAUCCUAGCACUUUGGGAGGCCGAGGUGGGCUGAUCACUUGAGUUCAGGAGUUUGAGACCAACCUGGCCAGCACGACCAAACCCCAUCUCUACUAAAAAUACAAAAUUAGCUGGCGUGGUGGUGGGCGCCUGUAAUCCCAGCUACUAGGGAAGCUGAGGCAGGAGAAUCACUUGAACCCAGGACGCGGAGGUUGCAGUGAGCUGAGAUUGUACCACUGCACUCCAGCCUGGGCGACAGAGCGGGACGCCAUCUCAAAAUAAAUAAAUAAAUAAAAAUAAAAAUAAAAACUAUGUCAGAUGAGGACCCUACAAGGGUCUUCAAGCAAGAGGGAGCUUCUUUUCAGACAGAGGAAAGUGAGGUUCCUCCUAUUCUAACUCACUGUAAUCACUAGGAUGCCGUACUUUCCAAAUCAGUCCCUAACUAGCAUAAAAAGACCUUGAGAAGCAGUGAAUUCACCUUAGGUUGUAAUUUUGCAACUCCUAGGAUCAAACCUUGGAUCUCGUUUUUACAUGUGCUAGCCUGACAGCCACAAGAGACCAGCUCCUUUAGGGCAGUCAUAGAUGCUCUCUGGUCCUCUGUCCGGGAAGUCAGCUGACAAUGUCAAGUGCUGAGCUCGCUGUUUCCUUUCUUUUUCUUUUUUCCUUUUUGGAGACAGAGUCUUGCUCUGUCACCUAGGCUAGAGUGCAGUGGCACGAUCUCAGCUCAUUGCAACCUCCGCCUCCCAGGUUCAAGCAAUUCUUCUGCCUCAGCCUCCCAGGUAGCUGGGAUUACAGGCACGUGCCACCAUGCCUGGCUAAUUUUUGUAUUUUUAGUAGAGACGGGGUUUCACCAUCUUGGCCAGGCUGGUCUGGAACCCCUGACCUUGUGCUCCACCUGCCUGAGCCUCCCAAAGUGCUGGGAUUACAGGUAUGAGCCACUGAGCCCGGCCUCCUUUCUUUUAUUCUACAGGGUGAUCAAAGCAACCAACCCAUGCACCAUGCUUUUAGUCUUUCAUAACAUUAUAUUGCAGCAGCCACUUGGUCUCUCAAAGCACUUUAAUUUUUUUUUUUUUUUUUGAGACAGAGCCUUGUUCUGUUGCCCAGUUUUGUGAGAAACUGCUAACUGGUCUUCUGAACUGUCUGUCAUUUUGCAUUCCCAGCAAUGCAUGAGAGUUCCUGUUGCUCCACAUCCUCGUCAGCAUUUGAUGUUGUCAGUGUUCUAGAUUUUGGCCAUUCUAAUAGGUGUGUUGUAGUAGCUCAUUAUUGUUUUGAUUUGCAUUUCCCUGAUCAUAUAUGAGGUGGAGCAUCUUUUCAUAUGUUUAUUUGUCAUUUACAUAUCUUCUUUGGUGAAGUUUCUGUUAAGGUCUUUAGCCCAUUUUAAAAAUAUUUUUUAAACAUUUAUUUAUAUGUUACUUAUUUUUAUUUUAUUUUUAUUUUUAGACAUAGGUUCUUGCUAUGCUGUCCAGGCUGGUCUCAAACUCUUAGCCUCAAGUGAUCCUCCAGCUCAGCUUCCUGAUUAGCUGAGACUAUAGGAGCAUGCCACCAUGCCUGGCUCUUUGGCCCUUUUAAAAAUCCUGUUUGUGUUUCUUAUUCCUGAGGUUAACAGCUCUUUGUAUAUUUUAGAUAACAAUCUUUUAUCUGAAAUGUCUUUUGCAUAUAUUUUCUUCCAAUCUAUGGCUAGUCUUUUUAUCCUCUUGACAGCAGACAUUUUCUCUUUCUCUCUCUCUCUUUUUUUUUAAUUUUUUUAUUUUUAUUUAUUUAUUUAUUUUUUUUUGAGACAGUUUUGCUCUUGUUGCCCAGGAUGGAGUGCAAUGGCACGAUCUUGGCUCACUGCAACCUCUGCCUCCCGAGUUUGAGCAAUUCUCCUGCCUCAGCCUCCCAAGUAGGGGAUUACAGGGAUUACAGGCAUGCGCCACCACGCCCAGCUAAGUUUUUGUAGUUUUAGUAGAGAUGGGGUUUCUCCAUGUUGGUCAGGCUGGUCUCGAACUCCUGAUCUCAGGUGAUCCACCCGCCUUGACCUCCCAAAGUGCUGGGAUUACGGGCGUGAGCCACCGUGCCUGGCCCUAGACAUUCUCUUUGACAAAAGAGCAAAGGCAAUAGAAUGGAGAAAGAUAGUCUUUUAAACAAAGAAUGUUGAAACAUUCUUUGUCAUGCAGAAAAUGAAUCUAGACACAGACCUUACACCCUUCAAAAAAUAACUCAAAAAGAGUCACAGACGUAAGUGUAAAACACAAAACUGUAAAGCUCUUAGAAGAUAACACAGGAUAAAAUCUAGAUGACUCUAGACAUUUUAGAUGCAACACCAAAAGGUACAGUCCAUGUAAAGAAGAAUUGAUAAGCUAGACUCCAUUAACAUUAAAAUGUUCUACUCUUUAAUACUAUUUUUUUAGAGAUGGGGUCUCACUAUGCUGCCCAGGCUGGUCUCAAUCUCCUGGGCUCAAGGGAUCUUCCCGCCUUGGUCUCUUGAGUAGUUGGGAUUACAGGUGAGAAACACUAUGCCCAGCCAUUUCUUUUUAAAGGAUGCAGUCUAAUCCCUAUUUAUAGACUAAGGGAAGGAGCCAAAGAUUCUGAAGAAGUUGGACAUAAAAAGACUUGAAAGUGGUAGAGCAAGAUCUUGGAGGAGUCCAGAGAGGAUGGGUUCUAGUUCAAGUGGAGAUCUCAGACAUGGAGACUGAAGAUACAGAGGUGAGAGCAGAUGCCAGUGCAGGUGAACAGGAAAAAAGAAAGAAAGAUAAGAGACAUGCCAAUAAUUUCUCAAUAGAGCAUAAGGCAAGGCCUCCACAUGAGAGUAAGUAAACGGGGAAACUGGGAGGUGAUGACCACUGUGACUAUUUGGAGUGGUUGCAUCACCUGACCCAGAAUCUGCUGAGGUUGCUUAAGGAUGCUUCAGGGUGUGUCGAUCCCAACUCACUGGGUGGGGCAUUUUAGAGCUGAAAGUUUCUGUCAUGCUGUUUCUGAGAAUGAGUAACAUCUCCCAUGACAUCAUUUAGAGCAGGGUUUCUCAGUCUUGGUAUUAUUAACAUUUGGGGCCAGAUCAUUAUUUGGGAAAGGGAGAGGGGGCUGUCCCAUGCACCGUAGGAUGUUUAGCAGCAUCUCUGACCUGCACCUGCUAGAUGCUAGUAGCAACUCCCCACACACUGGUUAUAACACCGCCAAAUAUCUUCAGACAUCUCCAAAUAUCCCUUGGGGGAAGAAGCGAAAUCUUCUCCGGGUGAGAACAACCAAUGUAUUUAUUUAUCAAUUGAGAUGGAGUUUCACUCUGUCACCCAAGCUGCAGUGCAGUAGCGUGAUCUCGGCUCACUGCAGCCUCCACUUCCCAGGUUCAAGUGAUUUUCUUGUCUCAGCCUCCCAUGUAGCUGGGAUUACAGGCGCCUGUCACCACGUCUGGCUAAUUUUUCAUAUUUUUAGUGGAGAUGGGGUUUCUCCAUGUUGGCCAGACUGGUCUUUAACUCCUGACCUCAGAUGAUCCGCCUGCCUCAGCCUCCCAGUGUGCUGAGAUUACAGGCGUGAGCCACCACACCCAUCCAAGAGCCACCAAUUUCAAGCUAGAGUUAGUGACGACGUGCCAGGGCUACUUCUCAGGAAUGUGCAAGCUGCUCUGAUUCCUGGGAAUGGUCUGCCCUGCCAGUCUUUGGGAAGGGUGGGGAAGCCUUUGGCAUUUGAGCAAGGUAUUCACAGAGAUGCUUCACCCAGACUCUUAGUGCUGUUUGUAUUAAAACUGCCAACAGUGGAGGUGUCUUCAUGGCUGAUCAGCCAAUUCUUCUCUUAUGGAACUUCUCACUAUCACCACCUUGUGGAAGAGGACACAGUUUCUCCCCCUGGAUAUGGGACCACUGCAAUUCAAAGCCAAAUGCCCCCUCUUCUUCUUCAGAUUUCUUUCCAAGCAUUUUGACUUUUACUAUAUCAAAAUAUAAGAAUAUACCCAGGACUCUCUGAGCAUCAACUACACAGAAUUAAAUGAAAGGUAUGUAUCAUAAUUUUCAUCAGAUCAAAUCAACAAAACAUCCCCCCUUCUCUUCUGGGAUGUUCCUGUUCUUUUCUUCUCCUUAUUUAUGGAGAAUUUGUUGACAUUCACUGAUUUCUAGGCAUUAUGCCAGGGGCUGGAUACUCCAAGAUAAAAUACGUGUGCUCCUUGCUGUCAAGGAGCUUACAUCAAAUAAACCAAGUAAACAAUGUAAUAAAGAGUGCUAAAUAUUAAUAGACCUACACACCCAGUAUUUUGAAAGCACAGCAGAAAUAGAAUGCCCGGAGGAGAGGAGUCGUCACAGGUCAGGGAGGCAUCUCAGGGGCAGGGAGGGAUAUUUUGGUUAACUCUUAAAGGAUGCUCAGGAGUUCAGAGAGCCAGCCCAAGGACAGCAUUUCAGGCAGGAGAAUGGAUUACACAAAGACCACGAGUUGUGCUUGGAAGCCUUUGAAAAAGUAGCUGUGGGCCAGAUGCGGUGGCUCAUGCCUGUAAUCCCAGCACUUUAGGAGCCUGAGGAGGGAGGAUCGUUUGAAGCCAGGUGUUCAAGACUAGCCUGGGCGACAUAGUGAGACUCUGUUUCAGCAAAAUAAUUUAAAAAAUAGCCAGGCAUGGUCGCAUGUACCUGUAGUCCCAGCUACUCAGGAGGCUGAGGUGGAGGAUGGCUUGAACUUGAGGGUUCAAGGCUGCAGUGAGCUAUGACUGAGCCGCUGCUCUUCAGCCUGGGCUACAUUAAGACCCUGCCUCUGAAAAGGAAAAGAAAAAAAAACAUAGGUGUGGCUGAAGUGCACCGAGUGGAGAGAGAAAAUAAACUAGGAGCAAACGAUGAAGGCCCUCGCAAGCUGUUCUUAGGCAUGGAAGUUUUCCAAUGACUGGGUCCUGCGCUGACUCUGAUCUCUUGGGUGGUGGUUCACCCCCCUUCCUCCUCUCUCUCUCUCUCUCUUUUUUUUUUUUUUUUUUUUUUUUUUUUGAGACAGAGUCUCCCUCUGAUGCCCAGGCUGGAGUGCAGUUGUGUGGUAUUGGCUCACUGCAACUUCCACCUCCCAGGUUCAAGCAAUUCUCAUGCCUCAGCCUCCCGAGUAGCUGGGAUUACAGGUAUGUGUGAACAAGCUCAGCUAACUUUAAAUUUUUUUUUUUUUUGGUAGAGAUGGGGUUUUGCCAUGUUGGCCAGGCUGGUCUUGAACUCCUGACCUCAAUUGAUCUGCCUGCCUUGGCCUCUCAAAGUGCCGGGAUUACAGGCGUAAGCCACUGUGCCAAGCUCCUCCUCUCUUUUUGUCCAAGAUCUAACAUUUUGGAUUCAGGCAAAUACAAUCUAGCCAUCAUCUGAAGUCUUCCCAGAGAAAUCACUUCAUAAUCUUAUUUAUUUAUUCAUUCAUUUGUUCAUUCAUUCAUUCGUUCUUCUGUUUCCUCCUCUGCAAGGCAGACCCCAUAAUUUCUAUCACUGCACGUCCUAGGCUCUUCCCAGCUCUGUUAUCUCCUACUUUCUGCUUUGCAGAAUCCACCAGCUCCCAUAACUGCUAGUUUUUACCCAAAUUCAUUUCCCUCUCCCCAUCAAAAUAACCAGGAAGACACUCUUGCUCCUACUGGGACAUCAUAUUCAGAUGGCAUUAAAUAGCUGAGCCCAAUUUCUAGGCAUGAUUCUUUAAGAAGAAUUUGCAUGUCUGACAUUUAAUAAGAUGAAUCCUCCUUGCACCAACCAGACCGGGCAUAAAAACAUACACAGUAAUUUUUUGAGGUGUUUUUCUCCUUGAAGAAGGUAGCUGUCAAGGUGGGUGAUGCUCUGGGCAGGAAGCAGUGUCUUUCACUAACGGGUUCUGACAGGUAUAUAGAAAAUCCUGAAAGUACCUCUGAAGAGAGAAUAGUUUCUUAAGCCUUUACCAUGGAGAGUCUUAAGAGUUGUUUUAUAGCAGUUAGCUGAGAGCAAGAUACUGCAGGAGGUGGGCAGGUUUGGAGAUGCCAGAGUGCAGAGAGACGGAGACAGAGAGAGAGACAGAGAGAGAGGAGAGAGGGAGGCAGAGACACAGAGAGAAAGAAACAGAGGGAGAGAAAGAAGGAGAGAGACAGAGACAGAGAGAGAAACAGACAAAGAGAGGGAGAGAAAAAGGAGAGGGAUAGACAGAGAGAUACAGAAAGAGACAGACAGAGAGAAAGAGAAACAGAGAGAGGGAGAGAAAUAGAAAUAGAGAGAAAGAGAGACAAAGAGAAAGGGAGAGACAGGGAGAGACAGAGAGAGACAGGUAAGAGAUGAGAGUAAGAGACAGAGAGAGACAUCGACAGAAAGAGAGAAAGAAAGAGAAAGAGAAGAGAGAAAGAGAAAGAGGAGAGACACACAUAUCAACAGAGACAGAGACAGAGAGAGAAACAGAGAGAUAAAGAGAAGGAGAGAAAAAGGAGAGAGAGACAGAGAGAAACAGAGAGAGGGAGAGAAAGAGAGAGAGACGGAGAAAGGGAGAGAGAGACAAACAGAGAAAGAGACAGGGAGAGAGAGACAGAUAAAGAGAAAGAGAGAGAGAGAGACAGAGAGAAAGGAGGCCACGAAGGCCAACUUUCUGCACAUCAUAAUCAGCCCAGACAUGGCUGUUUCCCUGAGAGCACGCAUGUGUGAGGACUGUGCUUUCAGAGUUCAUGUCCACAGCUCAUUGCGGGGGCAGUUUCUCUGAUCGUGUGGAGCUGGAUGCCAGGAGCAGGACACACUGUGUUCUUUCCUGAGCAUGAAGCCAGCUCUCGGAGUUGUUUUGUUGCACCUGCCAUUAGGCGUUGAUGAUGUUCUUUCUUUCCUCCGGUAGGGUAAGAAGGAGAGGACGCAGUCCAAGUGGUUUCCCUUCUUAAAAAAACAAACAACAAACAACAAAACAAGAACACUAACAUGGGACCAGGCACAGAUGCAAAUUCUCGUUUUGAACUUUGAACCCUGCCCAGGAAGCCCUUCUCAUGCAUCUUCAGUAUCAUAUACAUACAUCUGGGCCAGGCACGGUGGCUCACACCUGUAAUCCCAACACUUUGGGAGGCUGAGGCAGGUGGAUCACUUGAGGUCAGGCGUUCCAGACCAGCCUGGCCAACAGGGUGAAAAUACAGGCCUGGCUCAGUGCCUCAUGCUUGUAAUCCCAGCACUUUGGGAGGCCAAGGCGGGCAGAUCACUUGAGGUCAGGAGUUUGAGACCAGCCUGGCCAACAUAGCAAAAACCUGUCUCUACUAAAAGUACAAAAAAAAAAAAAAAUUAGCUGGGCCUGGUGGUGCACACUUGUAAUCCCAGCUACUCAGGAGACUGAGGCACGAGAAUCACUUGAACCUGGGAGGCAGAAGUUGUAGUGAGCUGAAAUUGAGCCACUGCACUCUAGCUUGGGUGACAAAGCCAAAAAAAAAAGAAAGAAAGAAAGAAAGAAAACAUAGAGUUGAGGUUGAAAGCAUCACAUAAUAUCCAGAAGUCCAAGAAAAAUGAUGGAUGUGUUUGUCUGCAUAACAUCUUUAAUAUGGAAAAAAACACAGAUAAAAUUUUAAAAUAGGAAAAUGAGAAAAAAAUCUGCAACAGAUAUGAGAGACAAUGGGUGGAUUAUCUUUUCUAUACAAAGAGCAUUUACAAAAUAAUAAGACAGACAAGAGAAACAUGGGCAAAAGACAUGAAUAGGAAAUUUACCAGUAAGAUAUGAGACUACAUUCAAUCUCCCUGAAAAGCAAAGAAAUGCAAAUAAAUCAGAAGAGCAUUUCCCACAUCAGAUUUGCCAUGAUGAAUACUUUGGAUAAAACACAUUGUUGGCAAAUAUAUGGUAAAAUGAACAGUACCAUAAAAUAUUGGUGAUACUACACAUUGUUAUGCUUUUAUAGGGUAGUUUGGCAAUAUCUAUCCAAAUAUAAUAUAUGCAUAUCAUUAUCACUUUUAGGAACUUAUCCCUAGAAGAUAAUUCCACCAUUAUGCAAAGAUGAUUGUAUAAGAAUGUUCAGAGCAGUGUUGCUUGUAAUAACUUAAAAAAAAAAAAGCAGUUUUUGCCAGGUGCAGUGGCUUAUGCCUGUAAUCCCCGCACUUUGGGAGCCUGAGGCAGGCGGAUCACUUGAGGUCAGGAGUUCGAGACCAGCGUGGCCAAUAUGGCAAAACUCCGUCUCUAUUAAAAAUACAAAAAUUAGCCAGGUGUCACUGCAGGUGCCUGUAGUCACAGCUACUCGGGAGGCUGAGGCAGGAGAAUCACUUGAACCUGGGAGGUGGAGGUGGCAGUGAGCAGAGCACUCAGCAUCGGUGACAGAGCAAGACUCCAUCUCAAAAAAAAAAAAAAAAGGCCGGGCGUGGUGGCUCACGCCUGUAAUCCCAGCACUUUGAGAGGCCGAGACGGGCGUAUCACGAGGUCAGGAGGUCAAGACCAUCCUGGCUAACGCGGUGAAACCCUGUUCUCUACUAAAAAUACAAAAAAAUUAGCCAGGCGUGGUGGGGGGCGCCUGUGGUCCCAGCUACUCGGGAGGCUGAGGCAGGAGAAUGGCGUGAACCCGGGAGGCGGAGCUU
rnacentral:lncRNA from 10 species